rfam:TPA: Bos taurus chromosome X, whole genome shotgun sequence.
UCCCUGGCAGUCCAGUGGUUAGGACUCCAGGCUUUUACUGCUGAGGGCCCAGGUUCGAUCCCUGGUCGGGGAA